rnacentral:lncRNA from 1 species
GGGUGAUUCUAGAACCACCCAGUGUGCCUCCUAAAUGGUGCCAGAAUUGGAUAUUCCAUGAGGCUUUUGUUGUCGUUAGUGGAAAUUACUAUGAGGACAGCCAGUGUCCACAAACGGAGCCAUAAUGCAGUGUGGUGUACAAAGCACAAGAUGUUGGGCACAGUGCUUCUUAGCAGGAGGAACACUUUGUCCUUUGACAGUGAUUGACAGUAGUCUUUUUCUCCUUUCAGAACACCUACAUCUGGACAGUCAACACCCAUUUGCUCCUCAAGGAAUGGGAGCAAAAGAAAGAAACACUUCUCUCAACUAAAAGCACUGCUAAGUCAGAGUGCAUCUGACAAGAACCCAACGCUAGACUUCAGGCACUUCUUAUCUUCUCUGUGAAGAGAAUGGCCUCUGAAAGAAGGAACUGUCUAGUGCAGCUUCUGAAAUGGAAGUUAACAGCUUUUGUCCUCUGUGAGAAGCAAGCUGUUCUCGCCAUCCUUCGGUGCUUAGGGGAAACACCUCAUUAAAUUGAGCAACUUGUGCCUCCCUGGGUGAAUGCGAAGAUCAAAAAGUAAAUGAGCACAGGUGGAGGUGCUGCUGCUGCUGCCAGGCCUACAGCCUGUAUUUCAUCUCCAGGACCGGACCAAUGGAGCAGAAAGAAUCCUGUUCUACAGGUUGUGCUCUGAGCUCCACACGAGUGCCCCUCACAGAAGAUGAAUAAAUGUAAUAAAGGGUUUUAUAAACUAAGACAGUUUUUAUGAUAAAAGGUAUAACGGGCACUGAAUGGUGGUAUUUAUUUUAGUUUUUGCAGUUUUAUUACCAUUUCUUUCAGAAGGAAACAAGGUUUCUCCCAUGUGUCAAUAACCAUUGCUAAUAUAGAAAAAUCAAAUGUAUUUCCUCAGCCAUAUGCAUAAUGAUAUUAGUAAACUCUGAAAGCUAAAGUAAAUACCUGCCCCCUCCAUGCCUGUUCUAGAGAUUAAGCUCGGGGCCUUGCGUGCUGAGCGAGCGCUGUACAAACCAAGGCUAACAAGCGUAGGCACUGCAGCAGCAGCCAGGCCAGGCCUGCCUUGUGUGUCUGCAAAGUCGACCCUGUUACUACUGAGCCUCUCCUGACUUAGAUCUGAAAAGGGAUUGUGCAGUGUGUUUUAGGCAGCGCAUGCCUCCGUACUGGUCAUUAGAGAUUGCUUGGCACUGCCCUGAAAUCGUGAGCAAUCCAUCACACCUUUCUCCCAGACUGACAAUAAACACGUUAGUUCUGUUCAGCUGCACUGAGUGGAUGGGACUGCCACAAGAGCUGCGUUUAUCUGUGCGAAGCACGACCCCUGGUCCUUCUAAGGGGAGUAUGAUAAAAGUUCGUCACUGGGGAGUCCUUCAAUGCACUGUUUUCUUGUCUUUAAAGAACUGGGGUUAAAAAAAAAAUUGAGUAUUAUGUUGGAUCUUUGUGAUAAUGAUAGGAUGUCUUAGGAAGAUGUAAAACUUCUGCAAAUAGUUACUGAAGAAAUGGGGUUUUCCUUUUGCGAAUGAAAGUGCACUUGGACAGCUUCAGAGAUCAUAAAAAAAAUGAAGGACAAUUUCAUUUGGCAACAUACAGAAAGCUUCAUUUUUAAAAAUUUCCCCUUUUAAAAGCAAGAUCGUAUCUCUAGUGCCGUGUUGUCUGAGGAAUAAAGAUGAAGACCAAGCCACGAGACCCCACAGGGUCAUUCACAGCCACUGGUAUCUGGUAGGGCCGAGAGCUUUACUAGUGCAGGGACUAGAACUGCAGGCCUGCUGUGCUGGUGUAUUUGAAAAGGUGAUUAUUUCACUGACUGUUGAGAUGCUAAAAAUACUGCAGAGGGCUGGAAGGGUGACAAAUAAAAGCACUUGCCGCU